GCCAUGUUUACCAGCCCUCCACCAUCGUCCCUCUGAGGCACCAGCUUUCAGCAGCACCGGCUCCCCUCUCAGCCCUUAGCGGCCCGGGGAGGGACUACAAUAGCUCCUCACAGGCCUGGCUCCUCUCGAUUGAUGAUGCGAUAUGAUGAUGUGCUUUCCAUUAGUGACAUGUCAUAAUAUGAGGUAUGCACAAUGGGCACCAGACCGCUCCCAGGCAAGAGCCAUAAACUCUUGGUCAAUGUCAGCACAGAAAAUGUACUCAACCUCCCUACCAAUUUGGUUUUUGAUGGCAUCAGCCAAUAGCGGCAUACGACGAUAGGCCAACUUGUCCCAGCCUGGGAACUCCGCAACAGGAAGCACCUUCAGCUGCCGUCCAGGCCCCAACUUGAUGGGAGGAUCCAAUGUGCGAGGAUUAUCAAUGAGAAUGUAGGUUAGCAGGCCUAUCCGGACUUCUUGCUGUGCAAAUUCAGUUCUUCGCCUGACAGAGUUGCGGUUGUCGCCCCAAACUAAAGGGACGCCCCAAGGAGUCUGCGCAGGGGUUAGGUUGAGCUCCAAAUUUGAUGACAACUUUUUGAGCAAGACAUCCCCCACCUUCACCAGAAAGGUUACAUUGUUUGCAUGCCCCUUCGUACUGAUAUUUCUCCUUGCAUGCCUGCAUGUGUGUGAUUUUAUCUCUGGUGAGCAACACAAAAUAUAUCGCAAAACAAAUCCAUCCAUCUGCAAUAACAUUUGCUCCUAUUAGGAUCUGAGGUGUGCUGGACCCUAUCUCAGCUGACUUUGGGAGGGAGGCGGGCUACAGCCUGGACAUCUUUCCAGGCAAUCGCAGGGCACAUUGAACAACCAUUCACAAUCCCCUCCACACUAAUGUACAAUUUAGAGUAUUCAAUUAACCAAGCAUGCAUAUUUCAGGAAUGUGGGAGGACCCUGGAGCACAAAGUGAAAACACCCGAGCUUGGAGAGAACACGCAAACUCAAUAAAGGAAAGUCUGAACUUCUGAACUGCAGAUGUGAUAAACAGAUCAGAUGCCCAAGUCCAAUUUCCCCUUGAGGAAUUACAACGGGGAUGUAUUAGAGCAGUUCUGAUAAGCAUACAACAUUAGUACA